rnacentral:rRNA from 1 species
CCUACGGGAGGCAGCAGUAGGGAAUCUUCCGCAAUGGGCGCAAGCCUGAUCCAGCAAUGCCGCGUGAGUGAGGAAGGCCUUAGGGUUGUAAAGCUCUUUCGCACGCGACGAUGAUGACGGUAGCGUGAGAAGAAGCCCCGGCUAACUUCGUGCCAGCAGCCGCGGU